GUCUCAGGCCGUAUCAGCCUGAAGGCGCCCGACUCUCGUCUGAUCUGGGAAGCUAAGCAGGGUCGGGCCGUGGUUAGGAUCUUGGAUGGGAGGACCACCUGGGAAUCCCGGGUCGGCUCGAGGCU
rnacentral:rRNA from 1 species